CAAAGGUUCAAGUAGGCAGAAAGGAAUAAAAAUUUGCUCGAGUCAGUCUUCUGCAAGAUUGGACAAGAGAGAUCAUUAUGGAAAGAGAUCAUUAGAGCAUUUUCUCUCAUAGACUAAUUUUUCUGUGCAUAUGCCCUGGAAUUGUUAACUCAAAGUGUGGAUUCCUCCUGGUUCACCUGGAAGUCUUCUCUUUUUCCAAUACCUGACUUUGCAUCAUAAAACUUCAUCUGCUGUCAGAGGUGUACCCACAAAAAAGCAAAGAGUAUGUGACUAAAGAGUGAUUAUGAGCUCAAAGGUGCAGCACUGCAGUGGAGCUCAGAGGAGAUGACAUUUACUGAGAAGGAACCACACGCUAAGCAUCCUGUUUCAUUGUCCCAACAGCACACAGAGGUGGAUACUGCUGGUAACCAGUUCUUUUACAGAAGAGUAAACCAGAGUUCUGUGAGAACUUCAAUUUCAGGUGAUAAAGCACAACUCAAACUGAUGUUAAUGAAAGGCAGGAAGACCAGCAAGGAGAGUACCAGUCCCAGGCACCAGAGAUCACCUGGCUCCAACAGGUCUGAGGCCCAGGCCUCAUUUUGCUCAGACUUUUGGACUCUACUCACUUCCACACUGCCUGCAUUUUCAAAACGGCUUUUGUUGUGUGGUGCUCCCCAACCCUUCACCUGGAAACUCCACAUUUACAGCCAGCCAGGCCUGGGAGUCCUGCUGUUGGGUGAGCCCUUGAAGAAGGAGCCCUGGCUCAUUCAUUUCUGCAUCUCCGGUGCUUAGCAUAAUUCCUGGCGCACAGCAUGUAAUGGGAAAUUUGCCAAAAAAAAGAAAGCAACAGAUUAGCCGCCUGGGACUCAAGGCCCUGUCCUGGAUGAUAGUGUUCAAAGGUACAGGGACAGCUUCAGAGCCUAGAUGAUAACUCUCCUUCAUAACAUUACAGAUGCCAUGUAUGGAUGACAG
ensembl:lncRNA